UGACAGUAGCGGACACCCAA
rnacentral:misc_RNA from 1 species